rnacentral:rRNA from 1 species
CGGCGGACGGGUGAGUAAUGUAUGGGGAUCUGCCUGAUGGCGGGGGAUAACUACUGGAAACGGUAGCUAAUACCGCAUAAUGUCUGCGGACCAAAGCGGGGGACCUCCGGGCCUCGCGCCGUCAGAUGAACCCAUAUGGGAUUAGCUUGUAGGUAAGGUAACGGCUUACCUAGGCGACGAUCCCUAGCUGGUCUGAGAGGAUGAUCAGCCACACUGGAACUGAGACACGGUCCAG